rnacentral:rRNA from 1 species
UACGGGGGGGGGCAGCAGUGUUGUGAUUUACUGGGCGUAAAGCGUGCGCAGGCGGCGCCGCAAGUCGAGUGUGAAAAUCCCCCGAGCUUAACUUGGGGAAUUGCGCUCGAAACUACGAUGCUGGAGUGUGGCAGAGGGAGGUGGAAUUCCACGUGUAGCGGUGAAAUGCGUAGAGAUGUGGAGGAACACCGAUGGCGAAGGCAGCCUCCUGGGCCAACACUGACGCUCAUGCACGAAAGCGUGGGGAGCAAACAGG